rnacentral:rRNA from 1 species
CCUACGGGAGGCAGCAGUGAGGAAUAUUGGUCAAUGGCCGGAAGGCUGAACCAGCCAUGCCGCGUGAAGGUCAGUGCCCUACGGGUGUUAAACUUCUUUUGUGAGGGAGCAAUAAUGGUCACGUGUGGCAAGACGAGAGUACCGUACGAAUAAGCAUCGGCUAACUCCGAGUACGCAGCCGCGGUAAUACGGGUGGUGCAAGCGUUAUCCGGAUUCAUGUGGUUUAAACGGUGCGUAGGCUGUGAGGGAAGUCAGCGGUGAAAUGCCCCGGCGCAACGGGGUGAAGUGCCAUUGAUACUGCCUUGCUGGAAUGCGGGUGCGGUGGAAGGAAUGUGUGGUGUAGCGGUGAAAUGCGUAGAUAUCA